CCUACGGGUGGCAGCAGUGGGGAAUAUUGGGCAAUGGAGGCAACUCUGACCCAGCCACGCCGCGUGAAUGAUGAAGGUCUUCGGGUUGUAAAGUUCUUUUCUACGGGAAGAAGAAAGUGCCGGUCCCUUAGGAAUAAGCCUAGGCCAACUACGUGCCUGCAGACGCGGUAAUACGUCGGAGGCGUGCGUUAGCCGGAAUGACUGGGCUUAAAGGGUGCGUAGGUGGUUUGGCAAGGUAGUAGCGUAAAUUCAAGGCUUAACCUUGGAACUACUACUAAAACUGUUGGACUUGAGUGCAGGAGAGGUAUGCGGAAUGCGUAGUGUAGCGGUGGAAUGCAUAGAUAUUAGGAAGAACUCCAGUGGCGAAGGCGGGUUGCUAGACUGUAACUGACACUGAGGCACGAAAGCGUGGGGAUCAAACAGGAUUAGAUACCCUGGUAGUC
rnacentral:rRNA from 1 species